UAAGUAAAAAUUAUAAUAAUUAUGAUGGGUAAUCAUAAGUAGUUUUUUAUGACGUAUUUUAUUUAACUACUUAUUUAAACAUAAGUUUCAUUUAAAUUGGUACUUACGCAUGUGAAUAUUACUUGGCGACCUAUCAGGAACUUGGAAUAAUUUAUUGUUUUAUCAGUUCUAUACAAUUUUUGUUCAAAUGUUUAUUAAUUGGCAAUAUUAUAGAUCUAUUAUGCAUUAUUCAUAAGUUUAUAAUGCAUAGUUUGUUUUAAAAUCAAGUUGCAUUGUAACUAUACAGCUAUUGGCUCCAAUUAAUCCAGAAUAUUUGUUGCAUACUAAUAUUCUAAGAUAAUUAAAUGUACUAAGAAUAUUCAACGGACAAAUGAUUCGAAGAAUAUACAAAUUAUAUACAAUUGUAUUCAGACAAAUUGAGAAUAAUAGUUUAGUUUUUAAACUAAAAAAUACAGCUAAUUGGAUUUUAAUGUUUUAACAUGGGAUAACAUCAAUUAUAGAUAAUCUAGUUAAUUUCAAAGAAGUGUGAAAUAAUCAAGCUUGCCCAACUAUGUUUCUGAGGAAAACUGUAACCUACUAAUAAAUAAUAUGUAAAGAAAAUUAAAA